UCAUUCCUGGGGUGUGCGACACUCCCGCAAUUUUGAACCUACAUUACCUUUAUGGGAAUCCUAAUAUCGCACAGCCGAUGUCAGGCCUCCGUUUGCAGUGGAAGGCAGAAGCUGUGGCUGCGGAUGCCCACCUAGCUCUGCUAGGACUCAGAAUACGGGAAACGGCACUCUGGGAAUAUU
rnacentral:other from 1 species